CUACGGGCGGCAGCAGUGGGGAAUAUUGGACAAUGGGGGAAACCCUGAUCCAGCAAUGCCGCGUGUGUGAAGAAGGCCUGCGGGUUGUAAAGCACUUUCGGUUGGGAGGACUGCUUCUAGCACUAAUAUUGUUGGAAGUUGACGUUACCUUCAGAAGAAGCACCGGCUAACUCCGUGCCAGCAGCCGCGGUAAUACGGAGGGGGCAAGCGUUAAUCGGAAUUACUGGGCGUAAAGCGCGCGUAGGCGGCUAGAUCAGUCGGGUGUGAAAGCCCCGGGCUUAACCCGGGAACUGCAUCCGAUACUGUCUAGCUUGAGUACAGGAGAGGAGGGUGGAAUUCCACAUGUAGCGGUGAAAUGCGUAGAUAUGUGGAGGAACACCAAUGGCGAAGGCAGCUCUCUGGCCUGAUACUGACGCUGAGGUGCGAAAGCGUGGGGAGCAAACAGGAUUAGAUACCCGUGUAGUC
rnacentral:rRNA from 1 species